UACGGGGGGUGCAAGCGUUAAUCGGAAUCACUGGGCGUAAAGGGUGCGUAGGCGGUACGUUAGGUCUGUCGUGAAAUCCCCGGGCUCAACCUGGGAAUGGCGGUAGAAACCGGCGCACUAGAGUAUGGGAGAGGGUGGUGGAAUUCCAGGUGUAGCGGUGAAAUGCGUAGAGAUCUGGAGGAACAUCAGUGGCGAAGGCGGCCACCUGGCCCAAUACUGACGCUGAGGCACGAAAGCGUGUGGAGCAAACAGGAUUAGAUACUCUGGUAGUCCACGCCCUAAACGAUGAAUACUAGAUGUUUGGUACCUAGCGUACUGAGUGUCGUAGCUAACGCGAUAAGUAUUCCGCCUGGGAAGUACGGCCGCAAGGUUAAAACUCAAAGGAAUUGACUGGGGCCCGCACAAGCGGUGGAGCAUGUGGUUUAAUUCGAUGCAACGCGAAGAACCUUACCUGGGCUUGACAUGUCCGGAAUUCUGCAGAGAUGCGGGAGUGCCCUUCGGGGAAUCGGAACACAGGUGCUGCAUGGCUGUCGUCAGCUCGUGUCGUGAGAUGUUGGGUUAAGUCCCGCAACGAGCGCAACCCUUGUCCUUAGUUGCCAGCGGUUCGGCCGGGCACUCUAGGGAGACUGCCGGUGACAAACCGGAGGAAGGUGGGGAUGACGUCAAGUCCUCAUGGCCUUUAUGUCCAGGGCUACACACGUGCUACAAUGGCGCGUACAGAGGGAAGCCAAGCCGCGAGGUGGAGCAGACCCCAGAAAGCGCGUCGUAGUUCGGAUUGCAGUCUGCAACUCGACUGCAUGAAGUCGGAAUCGCUAGUAAUCGCGGAUCAGCAUGCCGCGGUGAAUACGUUCCCGGGCCU
rnacentral:rRNA from 1 species